rnacentral:lncRNA from 1 species
GCAGCAGCUGCCAGGGAUCUGCCCUGCUCCCCAGCCGCCCAACUUGGGAAUACUCCUGCAGGCUCUCCACUGCCCACAGAAAGAGCCUCUCCUACAAAAUGACCAGUGGGUGGAUGGAAACGCCAUAGGGGCUUCAGGAGAUCGUCUGGUCCCAUCCCUCUCUGAGCUGCUGCACAAGAUCUCUCUGUGAUGAGUGCGCUCCCAUGGAAGAAGUGUGCUGCCUGGAACAUCUGGCUGAACCUGAUGCUUGCACCUUCCCUGAAGCCAUAAAUCUUAGAGAUGGGGCCUCACUUCAUUGCCCGGGCUCAUCUUGGAUUCCUGG